rnacentral:rRNA from 1 species
GUUGUAGUCUGGAGAAGUGCUUUCCGCGCUGGACCGUGUAUAAGUCUCUUGGAACAGAGCGUCAUAGAGGGUGAGAAUCCCGUCUUUGACACGGACUACCAGUGCUUUGUGAUGCGCUCUCAAAGAGUCGAGUUGUUUGGGAAUGCAGCUCAAAAUGGGUGGUAAAUUCCAUCUAAAGCUAAAUAUUGGCGAGAGACCGAUAGCGAACAAGUACCGUGAGGGAAAGAUGAAAAGCACUUUGGAAAGAGAGUUAAACAGUACGUGAAAUUGCUGAAAGGGAAACGCUUGAAGUCAGUCGCGUUGUAUGGAACUCAGCCUCGCUCUUGCGUGGUGCAUUUUCCUACGACGGGCCAGCAUCGAUUUUGACCGUCGGAUAAGGGUUGAAGGAAUGUGGCACCUUCGGGUGUGUUAUAGCCUUCAGUCGCAUACGGCGGUUGGGAUCGAGGAACGCAGCGCGCCGCAAGGCAGGGGUUCGCCCACUUUCGCGCUUAGGAUGCUGGCAUAAUGGCUUUAAACGACCCGUCUUGAAACACGGACCAAGGAGUCUAACAUACCUGCGAGUGUUUGGGUGGAAAACCCGAGCGCGUAAUGAAAGUGAAAGUUGGGACCUCUGUCGUGGAGGGCACCGACGCCCGGAGCAGACGUUCUCUGACGCAUCCGCGGUUGAGC